rnacentral:lncRNA from 1 species
CAGCAUAUACUGAGGGAGGGCAACCAAUUAGCAGAUCAUCUUGCAAACCAUGCAAUUAAUAUAGGGGAAUUCAUUUUUAUAAGUUUUCAGCAACUACAAUCCAAAGAAAAUAGAAUUCUAAACAGUGACAAGCUACAAUGUCGUUACAUGCAAAUUUCACCAUCGAGGGGGUAAGAGGGAUGCCCAGGCUAAAGCUUCAAUUGAACAAAACAAUAUGUACAAAAAUACAGUCACAAAAGUUGUACAAAGCUAUGUAGCCUAUCCUAUUACAUCCAGCAAAAGUACUCAUAGUGUAAAGGAAGGGUUUUAUUAGAUCUUUAAAUGAAACAUCUAAAGAGAUACAAAUAGAAUAACCACAUGUAGGUCCGAGCAUUUUGUUAUCUCCCUCCCAUCAGUUGGUACAAGAAGCAACAUAUUACUCAGAUCAUUGAACUGGAGAACAUGGAUCAGAAGAAGAUGAACAAAAUAAGGCUUACCUAUAUUUUGAUGUACUUUUAGGGUCUAAACCCUUCAAUCAAGCACCAAAAAUAUUUGAUAAUCCCAACAACCAGAGAGCAAAACUGUGAAAUCAAAAAUUGAUGACUAAAAACUUAAAAAUGGAGCAUUAAGUAAUGGAAAAGGGAAUAGGAUAAUUACUUCUGGUAGCUGAUAUGUGAGCUAGUCUAUAACAUGGCCAUGGUAUAGAAGUAAUGAUCCAUAACUUCUUCAAGAGGAAGCUUAAGUUCAUCAGUGGAGUCGACAACAUUGUUUCAAAUGGAGCUAAUGCGGCGGAUUUGAUUUAGGAAACACAAACCCUAUUUUUAAGGGUAUAGGUAAUAAACAAAACAGGUUGGGU